CGGUAAUACAGAGGGUGCAAGCGUUAAUCGGAAUUACUGGGCGUAAAGCGCGCGUAGGUGGUUUGUUAAGUUGGAUGUGAAAUCCCCGGGCUCAACCUGGGAACUGCAUUCAAAACUGACUGACUAGAGUAUGGUAGAGGGUGGUGGAAUUUCCUGUGUAGCGGUGAAAUGCGUAGAUAUAGGAAGGAACACCAGUGGCGAAGGCGACCACCUGGACUGAUACUGACACUGAGGUGCGAAAGCGUGGGGAGCAAACAGG
rnacentral:rRNA from 1 species